GGACGGUGACGAUUUCAGCAUGAAAGGUCUCGUUCGUCGUAAUUGGCUAUAUAAGGCCUUGACGACCAUACUGCUAUAUCACCACCCAUAUUCUGAGUCC